rnacentral:rRNA from 1 species
GAUGAACGCUGGCGGCGUGCCUAAUACAUGCAAGUCGAGCGAACAGACGAGGAGCUUGCUCCUUCGACGUUAGCGGCGGACGGGUGAGUAACACGUAGGUAACCUACCUAUAAGACUGGGAUAACUUCGGGAAACCGGAGCUAAUACCGGAUAAUAUUUCGAACCGCAUGGUUCGAUAGUGAAAGAUGGCUUUGCUAUCACUUAUAGAUGGACCUGCGCCGUAUUAGCUAGUUGGUAAGGUAACGGCUUACCAAGGCAACGAUACGUAGCCGACCUGAGAGGGGGACCGGCCACAGUGACACGGAGACCCGGCCCAGACCCCUGGGGGGGGCAGAAGUGGGGAAUUUUCCGAAAGGGGCAAAGGCCUGAGGGGGCAACGCCGGGUGAGUGAAAAAGGUUGUGGGAGCGAAAAACUCUUUUAUUGGGGAAAAAAAAACGUGUAAGUAACUUGGCCCGUCUGGGGGGUACCAAAUCAAAAACCCAGGGCAAACCCCG